rnacentral:rRNA from 1 species
GACGAACGCUGGCGGCGUGCCUAAUACAUGCAAGUAGAACGCACAGUUUAUACCGUAGCUUGCUACACCAUAGACUGUGAGUUGCGAACGGGUGAGUAACGCGUAGGUAACCUGCCUGGUAGCGGGGGAUAACUAUUGGAAACGAUAGCUAAUACCGCAUAAUAUUAAUUAUUGCAUGAUAAUUAAUUGAAAGGUGCAAUUGCACCACUACCAGAUGGACCUGCGUUGUAUUAGCUAGUAGGUGAGGUAACGGCUCACCUAGGCGACGAUACAUAGCCGACCUGAGAGGGUGAUCGGCCACCAUGAGACUGAGACACGGCCCAGACUCCUACGGGAGGCAGCAGUAGGGAAUCUUCGGCAAUGGACGAAAGUCUGACCGAGCAACGCCGCGUGAGUGAAGAAGGUUUUCGGAUCGUAAAGCUCUGUUGUAAGAGAAGAACGGGUGUGAGAGUGGAAAGUUCACACUGUGACGGUAUCUUACCAGAAAGGGACGGCUAACUACGUG